rnacentral:lncRNA from 1 species
UGAAUUUAAGACAAUUUUUGUAAUGUUUCAAGGAAACAACUUCUGUCUCUCACAAGACUUGCCUGUACAAAGGGACUUUGCAAAAAUGUCAUAUUUUUGGUAACACUAGCAAAACCCUAGAGGUAUUUCUCCUGUAAAUUGUGUUCUGAUAACGCUAUCAUUUUCAGCACUAGUCCUUUGUGAUCUGACCUGAUGGUUAAGUGGUAUCAAUCUCCAUUGCCACUCCCAUUCAUGGUUUUGCUGUUUGCAACUUUCUCCAUGGUUAUGCUAUGUAUUAAUGGUAGCAAGAAAUGGAAAAUUAACAGGAAGCUCCCCAUAUGAAUACCAAAGUGGUCACUGCAUUGAUAUAGGUGGUUGAGGAGCACCAUUUUGUUUCUUCCUUUGCAUCUUCACUGUUAUAUUUUCUGUGUGACACAGUGACAGGAGCAGAUUUGCAGUGAAGAGCUGCUAAUGCAGAAGGAUCCGUUCCGGAUGUUCUCCUCCCAUCUGUUAUACAGUGCAGCAGCUCUUCUGCAUCUCCUGGGACGAUGCAUGAGGAGUCAGAAAAAUUGUGGUCCUUGUGCUGGGAAUGCUGUGACAAGAAGUUUGAAGGCAAGUUCCUAGCUGACUGCCACAGCGAUUAAAUUGGGAUUUUUGGGUACUGGAAAUACAGGCCUAUACAAGGUCUUCAAGCAGCAACUCACCGACACUGCUCUCAUCAAGCUCUGGUAGGUUU